UCCCGCUCUCUCUCUGCUCACUCCCCUGUCAGGACGAGGAGGAAGAGGCAGUGGAUUGAAAUGUAAAAAAGGCAGGGGAUCAGAGACAGGUGGAAAAUGAGAGGCGCAAAGGGCAGAGUGGGGGAGAGAUGAGACGGAAAUGGUGCCGGCCCCUGCGCUUCAACACGCACUGUCAGUCAGGCGGCUUAUUCUCUCAACGCCCCCUCAGUACUGAUUGAAUUUCAGUGUUGAGGUCGUGCAGCGCUGUGGUUCUACUUGACUUACCAGGACAGCAUAUCUUGGAAGUAUUUUAUAUUUCUAAUUUCCUGCCUAUGUCAUGCACACUAAUUCUGCACCACUGGGUAAGGAAACACUUCAGCAGAGCCCUGCAGGACUGCAGCCUUCAUGCUGAAUAAAACAGAACAGAGGAGAUUGGAAGCUGCUCAAUGAAACAACGAAUUGCAUGUGAUCUUGCAUUUUCAUGGACAUUUUGACAGAUUACCUGAUGUGCUCUUUUAUUUCUAAGGUCCACCUUCACUUGCCAUUUGAUGUUAUAUAAUUGAAUAUAAAAAAUAAAAUCCAAAGCAACCAUGUUGCCUCUGUUCCAUGUUAUAGUUGCCUCCUAUGUUCUCUUUUGCACUUGACUGAUUUAUGGUGCCUGUCAGCAAAUAAAACUGUCACUGUUUCAUCAA